rnacentral:lncRNA from 1 species
CUGCUAGUAGAGGAAUAUGUCGAGUUUCUCUAGGGCGCCCCAGCAAUGGGCCACUUUUGCUAGAAUAUGGUAUCUCUUAGAUGGGAAAAUGCAGCCACCUGGCAAACUUGCUGCUAUGGCAUCUAUAAGACUUCAGGGAUUACAUAAACCUGUGACUGUGGGGAUCAUGUUGUUAUAAUGAACACAAGACACAUUGCAUUUUCUGGAAACAAAUGGGAACAAAAAGUAUACUCUUCGCAUACUGGCUACCCAGGUGGAUUUAGACAAGUAACAGCUGCUCAGCUUCACCUGAGGGAUCCAAUUGUAAAACUAGCUAUUUAUGGCAUGCUGCCAAAAAACCUUCACAGAAGAACAAUGAUGGAAAGGUUGCAUCUUUUUCCAGAUGAGGUAAGUCAAAGAUAUUCUUAAGAAUUUAGUAGAGGAGCUUCCUCAACCACGAAAAAUACCUAAACGUCUAGAUGAGUACACACAAGAAGAAAUAGACGCCUUCCCAAGAUUGUGGACUCCACCUGAAGAUUAUCGGCUAUAAGAGAAUAAGAAUUGCAGAAAAUAACAGUGAAGUGAUUGAAACUUUCUUCUGAUGAGUUUCUCUAACCUACAGGAUGGAGUAAAACAACUGCUACAGUUCAGCACCUGUUUUAUGUGCCGAAUCACUGUGGGGAAAGGUCAGGAAGGUAUAGUCCUUCAAUAGGAAAUUGUAAUUAAAAUAUAAUUUUAUAGAACCAUUUUUAUGUAAUCUGAUUUGAAUGUUAUAGUUGAUAAUAAUAAAAUCACUUACUUGGUUGACU